CGGGUGAGUAACGCGUGAGGAACCUGCCUCAAAGAGGGGGACAACAGUUGGAAACGACUGCUAAUACCGCAUAAGCCCACGGUGCCGCAUGGCACAGAGGGAAAAGGAGCAAUCCGCUUUGAGAUGGCCUCGCGUCCGAUUAGCUAGUUGGUGAGGUAAUGGCCCACCAAGGCAACGAUCGGUAGCCGGACUGAGAGGUUGAACGGCCACAUUGGGACUGAGACACGGCCCAG
rnacentral:rRNA from 1 species